UCCGCGCUCAAAGAAUCGCAUUCAAAGCUUACGCACAGCAAGGCACAGUUGUUUUUCUUCAGGAGAACACGCUCAUCUUGCACACCCAUCAUGCUUUGGGAGAAAGUCCCCGGACCACCUGAGCAUCUUUCCGAAGAUGGAUUUUAGGACUUGCCGAAAGGCGCCGCCAUAAAAGCACUUUCACAGCGGCUUAUCACACGCCUUCCCCUCUUCUCGUUGACACCCGUCUUCUUUCUAGCUCUAACCUCUUUGUCGCUUGCAUUUCUCUGCAACUUUGAACCUCCACCCACAGUAUGCCUCAUUUUUUGACGCGUGAUGGGUGUCCGGAUUGGAUGAAGAUACGAGUCCGUCCCUUGGGCCUCCGGGCUGGGCAUUCUGAUGCAGAUAGAAUGAGGUAUCCGGGCGGUUGGGGACUGUUCUGGGAAAGAGAUAGCGAGGGUGCGAUACUGGGAGCGGAAGAGGUGGAGUUCUCAUGGGAUCCAAGAGCUGGUUCGAAGGUUGCGCAAUUCGUCACACGUACACAGUUAUGCGAUUGCUCGGUCUCUACUCCUCUCAAGGGGUUUCAUGACAGAGUAACUCGACGGGGCUUAUUCUUGAGGCGCGG
rnacentral:RNase_MRP_RNA from 2 species